UAAUAUAAAAUAAAGAUGAUAGAAUAGUCUUGAUUUAUUUUUGCAAUUUAAAAAAUAUUUAGAAAUAUAUUUUUAAUUCAUUAGUAAUUAUUAAAAUAAAAUUUGAAGAUUUUUGUAAAAAUUACUUUCUUGAUUUUUAAAUUCUAUUAUAAAAAAUUACAUCAGAUUUAGAGUUUAGAAUUUAGAAUUUUAGGAUUAAAUAUUUAGGAUUUAGAAUUUAUAUUUAGAGCUUAAAAUCAAAGGCUAAAAAUUUAGGAUUUAAGAUUUAGGAAUUAAAAGUUGAAGAUUUAGAAUUUAGAAUUAUAAAGUUAUGAUUGAUUUUUUGACUCUCUUAUGUUUGGAUUUUGACUUAAUGUACAUUGAACUUAGCCACUCCAUUAAUUUGGUGAGGUAUAAAAUUAUACUCACUCCAUUAAUUUGGUGAGGUAUAAAAUUAUACUCUCUUCAGUAUAGUUGACCCCUAAUGCUUUCUUUGAAUUUGGAUUCAUAAGCAGGCUCUAUCCACCCUUCAUUUCCUUCUUUAUUUGCUAAUAUGUUUCAGUAAAGCUCAUGAGUCUAAGAUGGACUAAGAGAUGAAGUUCUAAAUGAAUACCCAUAAUCAAAAUGAGGUCAUGACUUGGACUUUUUGUAGUCACAUACUUUUUGAUGUGAAAAAAUUAUUUUGAGGUUUAUUUAUAUUUAUUAUAGUGUUUAAAUUAUAUAAGAUUUAGAUAUUUAGAAUAAAGUUAUAAGAGAAGAUUGGAGCUCAAAGUUGAAGAUUCAAACUAUUAAGAAGCUUAUUUGGAGGGAUGAAGGUAAAGUAUGGAUGGAUGAAGAUAACAGAUGAAGAUCUUCAUCCCUAUUGAUCGAAGGCUAUGCCCAAUAGGCUUUUAGGAGAUAGUCUGCAACCAUGAGAAGAUUUUGUAGUGACCUCAAAAGAACAUUUGAGAAUCAAAAGCUAGAAUUAUAAGUUUUAGGAUUUGGACUAUAAUUUGGAUAUAAAAAUUAGUGAGUUUGGAGUUAAGUUGAAGAAAUUAUAGCUACUUGAAGUUAAGAUAUCAUUUUAAGACAUACUAUUGUUCUUUUGAGCAUACGAGGAAUUUUACAAUAGUUUUUUGAGAUUAAAAGGUGCAAUUAGAACGGCAAUUUCAUGACUUACAUCUUUUAUAAAGAAAUUAUUAUAUUUAAAGUCUAGAUGAAGAAGUUAUAGAGAGUUGAAGUCAAUACAUUUAAAUUAAAGGCAAUAAGUAAGUGAUUUUAUUCAAAGUAAUGAUUAGAGCCAUAUCUUAAGUUGUCGAAUGAAUUUUUGGCUCAAAUAUUUUAAAAAAGGUGGAAUAAUGUAUUAAAAAGCUAUAUAUAUAAAAAAUUUGAUAUUUGAGUACUUAGUUUGUGAGAUAUAAAGAAAAUUAUAUGUAAGUAUAUAAAAAUUAAGGUUUUGAAGCUACUUUUAGGGUUUUGGUAAUAUCUUAAGAUCCAUGAUGAAUUUGUAGUUGAAAUUUGUUGUGGUAGUUUUUAGAAGUACAUCAAUACUUUAUAUAAUAUUUGAGUAUGUUUGAAUAGUCCAAUUGAGAGAUAUGAGUU
rnacentral:lncRNA from 1 species